rnacentral:rRNA from 1 species
AUUGAACGCUGGCGGCAGGCCUAACACAUGCAAGUCGAGCGGAUGAAGGGAGUUUGCUCCUGGAUUCAGCGGCGGACGGGUGAGUAAUGCCUAGGAAUCUGCCUGGUAGUGGGGGAUAACGUCCGGAAACGGGCGCUAAUACCGCAUACGUCCUGAGGGAGAAAGUGGGGGAUCUUCGGACCUCACGCUAUCAGAUGAGCCUAGGUCGGAUUAGCUAGUUGGUGGGGUAAAGGCCCACCAAGGCGACGAUCCGUAACUGGUCUGAGAGGAUGAUCAGUCACACUGGAACUGAGACACGGUCCAGACUCCUACGGGAGGCAGCAGUGGGGAAUAUUGGACAAUGGGCGAAAGCCUGAUCCAGCCAUGCCGCGUGUGUGAAGAAGGUCUUCGGAUUGUAAAGCACUUUAAGUUGGGAGGAAGGGCAGUAAGUUAAUACCUUGCUGUUUUGACGUUACCAACAGAAUAAGCACCGGCUAACUUCGUG